rnacentral:rRNA from 1 species
AACGUAGGAGACAAACGUUAUCCGGAGUUACUGGGCGUAAAGGGCGUGUAGGUGGUUUCGUAAGUCUGGCGUGAAAUUUUUCGGCUUAACCGGGAAAGGUCGUCGGAUACUGCGGAGCUAGAGGACGGUAGAGGCGUGUGGAAUUCCGGGUGUAGUGGUGAAAUGCGUAGAGAUCCGGAGGAACACCAGUGGCGAAGGCGACACGCUGGGCCGUACCUGACGCUAAAGCGCGACAGCAUGGGGAGCAAACGGG